UCUUCUCCUUAAAGGAAAAAGAGGAUGAUUUACAAAUAUUAAUAUUAUGAAAGAGUAAUCAGAAUAAGGAUUGAUUAACAACAAGCUUGGCUCUGACUUAUAUGUACGACGAAGAUUAGGUAAUACACAUGGUACUCUUUUGAAGAGGUGAGGAUAAACGGUAUAGGUAUCAGAGUGUAAAAUUUGGAUAACUUAUAUUCAUACUGGUAUUAUAAAUUUAGAUGAUGCUUUGUCAUGUCCCACUAACACCAGUGAUUGAUAUUGAAUCUAAGAGCGUAAGCUCGAUUUAGGCUAAUCUCACAGGUCUGGUUAACUUGGUGCCAGCAUCCGCGGUUAUACCAAGAAGACCAAGUUGUACUUACCUUAGGUAAAAAGACAGUUAGGCAUUAAGAAAUAUUAGUUACUAAAUUUUCUGUUUAAGGGUGCAAUCUGAAUUCAGAUAAAAGUUCCCUAAGUAACAUAGAAUGCUGAAUCUGUGAAAAUCUAGAGGGAAACUAGGAUUAGAUACCCUACUAUUCUUGAUAGUAAAUUGAUAUAUAAUUCUACCAGAGUACUACGAAAUAUAAUAAAAUUUAAAACUCAAAGGGCUUGGCGGUGCUUUAGACCACUUAGGGGAACCUGUCUCAUAAUCGACAAUCCACGCAACACCCUACCUUAAUUUGCUUUCAGUAUGUAUACCGUCGUCGGCAGGUAACUUUUAAGAAAUAAAAAGUUAGCAAGAGAAGAUAAGUAUUUAUGCUCCUUUUAUCUAUUACGUCAGAUCAUGGUGCAGCCUAUGUUAAGGAGAGGAUGGGUUACAAUUAAAAUUUAUAAUUACGAAUAAGGGUGAGAAUUACACUUUCUUGGAAGGAGGACUUAAAAGUAAGUAUAACUAGAUAAAUCUAUUGAAUAUGGCUCUGAGGCGUGCACACAUCGCCCGUCGCUCUCGUUGAAAAAUGAGAUAAGUCGUAACAUAGUAGGAGUAAUGGAAAUUGCUCCUUGCUG
rnacentral:rRNA from 1 species